AGUGAACGCUGGCGGUAGGCCUAACACAUGCAAGUCGAACGGCAGCACAGUAAGAGCUUGCUCUUACGGGUGGCGAGUGGCGGACGGGUGAGGAAUACAUCGGAAUCUACUUUUUCGUGGGGGAUAACGUAGGGAAACUUACGCUAAUACCGCAUACGACCUACGGGUGAAAGCAGGGGAUCUUCGGACCUUGCGCGAUUGAAUGAGCCGAUGUCGGAUUAGCUAGUUGGCGGGGUAAAGGCCCACCAAGGCGACGAUCCGUAGCUGGUCUGAGAGGAUGAUCAGCCACACUGGAAGUGAGACACGGUCCAGACUCCUGCGGGAGGCAGCAGUGGGGAAUAUUAGGCAGUGGGCGCAAGCCUGAUCCAGCCAUACCGCGUGGGUGAAGAAGGCCUUCGGGUUGUAAAGCCCUUUUGUUGGGAAAGAAAAGCAGCAGGUUAAUACCCCGCUGUUCUGACGGUACCCAAAGAAUAAGCACCGGCUAACUUCGUG
rnacentral:rRNA from 1 species